rnacentral:lncRNA from 1 species
GCAUCCACAUACAUCCACUCAAUUCUAUCUCCAGACUCACCUAAAAUUAUUCUACUCCUAUCCGAGAGAGUAGCCAAAAACAUUAUCCUAUUCCUGUUUUCUCCUGUGAAAUAAAUGCUCGAGAUAUUUUGGUUACUACCACUUGCUACAUUAUUCGAGGAGGGUGAGUGCUCUAAAAAAAGAGAGAGAAGAAAAAAAGAAAAAUAUGAGAAAAUAAAAAGAGGCAAGUGCCCAGAACCUCGAAGAAAAGAAAAAGUGAGACGAGAGGUAAAAAUAGACAAGUGUCCGACAGUAGAAUUAGGGGUACAAGAUACCCACCUGAGAGAAAUGAAAAAGAAAAUAUAGAGCUUCUCAUUCCCCCUCAAAAAGCUUCAAAGUGCAAGAAAGGUAUGUAUCCCUUCAAAAGAGCAAAAGUAGAAUUAGACUUUCACCAUUGUUUGUAGCCUAAAGGGUAGUAGCAAUAGAUUUGGUUAGUCAUAUGCACGCUUUCUCCCAGUGGUAAAAAUAUAAAUACGAUACUCUGGAUAACCUCUCGGGUGAAGUGCUCACCGAUAUCCGUGCGCUUGCGGAUCAUUUCCUGAUGGCGUUAACAAAUAUCAACAAGCAUUUCUGGCGCCGUUGCCGGAGAGAAAGACGGUUUGCUGAGAUAACUUUGAGUCUUGCUAUUAUCUUGUAUUAUACUUUUAUACUUUUAUUCUUUUAUCUUUUUAUUUUUUUCUAUCCUUAUGCAUAACUCAAAUUCCACACAUAUUAUUGAAUUUUUUGCACCUUCGCAGACCAGCCAUGGACCAUAGGAGUCAACAAGUCCUUUCUUUGACUCUAAUUAUGAUCUGUGUCCGGAGUUGAUUGCAAUAGGUCAAACCCAACCCUUUUCUAUAGCCGAGGUCCUAUCUUUUAAUCAAGAAGAUAAUGAACUUUUAGCUACACCUAGGGAAUCUUGUAAUCUUUCUAUAAAUUCUGGUUUAGACCUAGCCCUACAAGACCAUGUUUUUCCUCGAUAUUUUCACAUUGGUCUUAAUCAUAUAACCUUUGGUAGAGUUUUUCUUUAUUUAUUUGUUAGUAAAGCAAGAUAUGUCUUCAUUCGUGGACAUCCUUCUUACACUAGUCUUUAUAAAAAAUUCCUAGAGAUAGAGAAGGAAUCAUAUCCCAGAUGAGGAAAGGAAGUUUCAAUAACCGAUUUCCAAACAUUUCAAUCCCAUGAUUCGGCUAUCCAACCCAAACUAGUAGUCCUCCAAAAUCAUCUAAGGGAAGAAAAAAAUUCUAGCUUUGAAAAUUCAUUUUGGGAUGAGCUUAAACUUCCUACUUCAUAAGAGACCUUUGAGUGCAUAUAGUCUGAACCUUCCUAAGAAGGGAUCUCUUAGAAAGCAUCUCAAAUCCAAUCCCUUUGAUGGACAUCUACAAAGACUCAAGGAUGGCAUCUUAAGUGACGCAAUAGAAGGAUAGCGAAGCUAUUUAGAAAACAAUCUCAUCUUCUCCCUUUCUACACCCACUUUUGAUGACUCAUUCGAACCUAUCUUUAAACCCAUCCUUGAGCCUAAUAAUUUCUACUAUACUCUUUCUCUUGAACCUCCAGAUGAUCCUAUGAAUCUCUCUAGACAUCCCAUGCAUAAGAGUCACCAAGACCACAAGGAGGAUCGAGAAGAGCAACAUCAAUGGCUAGAGGGUGUUGACGGUCUUUAAGUAUCAAAUUUAAUUAUCAAAUAAACAAAGAAAAGGAUCCAAAUGCAACCAACACCCAGACUUAGGGUUUUAUCUGCAUAAUUCCACGAGUUUUGGUGUUUGUCUAUUUCUGCAUGGGGUUAUCAGGAUAUAUGGAGGAAAGGCCCACAUGUCGGGUUUACAUAGAGAUAUUAACGUGUGCGGCAAUUUUCUAUCAUCUAGAAGACAUCAGAAGCCACAGGAACGAACGGGAAGCCGAGCGGGCUCGGGGACAGGGCGCCCGGCCUCCCCCCUUGGGCGCCCGCCCUGUCAUCUGGACCAAUCAGGCUCCGCCUCGCGGAUUAUGCUCCACCGACCUAAAGGAUUAAAGAAAACCGUGCGAUUAAGGUCGGUUUGAUCCGACGGCCCACAUUCAUUUGGAGGGGCUAUAUAAGCAGGUUCCCAGGCCCCUGGAGGAGGCACCCCUUCAUCCUUAUUCAUUAUUCAUAGAUAGAGCAAAAGCUAGGGUUUGGAGAUGAGAGCUCUCCUCUCAUCUCUAAACUAGAGUAGAUUUAGAUAGUAGCGAGAUGGAGAGCGAGGGAGGAUUGGAGGAGAGGCCGGCCUGUCGGUUCUUCCUCCAGUUGUACUUCGCCAUGAUCAAGCUCUAAUCAAGCUUGCUCAUGGGAUGACUCUGGUAAUCUACUUCUAUUUCAUUAUGCAAUUACUAUCCAUGUAUGUUCUGGUUCACAACUCUUUUGAGUACUUUAAUCUAUAGGACGCUAUAGGUGAGGGUUGUAGUAUAGGUGUAAGCGUGGUGCUUAGACCUAGAUUACUUGUGGAUAUCCCCUGUCUAGCCGGAUCGUGUGGUAGGCCACGUAGGUGACAGCUAUGUUGGUCCUCUGUAGUCUACCUCCCGUUAGCAGGACUGGUAGGGUUUAUCGGCCUAUGGAUAAGCAUCAUUUGUGGUGUAAUCUUAUCAUGUGGUUCGUCCCAGACAUAGAGAUACCCCUUUGAAGUAGAGAAACCAUAGUUAUCCUCUUUAUUCUCCUACCAUCGCCCAUAUACUAGAUUGCUCUACUCUCUAUUCCCAUAUUAUCACUCAUUGUUAUCUUAGCUUUAAUAUUGUUCUUAUUCAAUUCUACCAUCUUUCCUAUUUACACCUAUCUAUCUAUCUAGGUUAAGUUAGAGCGUAGUUGGUUCUCCCGUUUCCCUAUGGAUACGAUAAAACCUUUAACCGGGUAAAAGCUACAACGGUAUCCGUGCGCUUGUGGAUUUAUCUAUGUGUGUAUAAAUACUAUAGUACACUCUAGUGCCAUGCUGGAGAUGACAACCUAGUAUUCAAGUGGUGUUAGCAAGUGUCAACAGAGGGCAUUAAAAAUCCAUGUGCUAUCACCAUUGAAUGGAUGGAUAAAACAAACUUGAGAGACAAUCCUAGAGGAAUUUUAAGCAUUCAUGAAGAAUCAUCCUUAGAGUUUGAGAAUGAGAGAAACAACAGUGAGCAUGGAAGUUAUUUCAUAAAUACCUCACCAAGUCCUUGCUCAUAUAAUACAUCUCCCCAAUCAAUUGGUCUCUCCAACCUUACCACAUUUGAGAUCUCCAAACUUUAAAGGGGUGGCUAUCGAUGCAUAUGUCUAUAAUAAAUAUUGCAGAUAUCGUUGAGUCAAUCUUGAUAUAGGCACGCUUAGGUUGGUGUUGGAGGGGAAACCACUUCACCUACAUAAUUUGAUGGUUUCCCAAUGACAAGCUUAGUGUCCUAAAACAAGCACUUAUCAGAUCGUAACAUAAACUUUUAAUUAUUUGCAACAUUGCCUUAUGUAUUGAGCAUAUAAAGAUAAUUGUAGAAAUAUUCCUUCGGGUAUUCGUGUCACUAACCUUUCUAGGAUUGGAGCAAGAAGAUCUGAGGAAUGACAAGCGCAAGGUAUGCCCAACCAAUCAUCACGCAACAUUAAAUUAAAUUCAUCCAAUCUUGAAUUUUGUAAAAUUCAAGCUUGGGGGAAAUACCUUACAUAAGAACAUCCUUUGCCAUGUUGCUAUCUUGGUUGUCCCUAUUUUUGAGGCAUGCUCAAUUUUUCUAAACACUAAACUUAUUUUUCAUCUCCAACUGAGUAGAUCUCUAUAAAUGCCGUCAUGCUACCUUUGUCUAUUCACAAGCAAGUGUUGGUUUGGAAGUACUCGACAUACUUCCAUUGGCAUUUAAAUUAAGCGUGGUGCUUAGGUUAAAUAGCCUUUCUUAAUCUGAUUAGACAUGGAGUCUAGUUUGGUUACUGAUCUAAGAACUGCUUGAGUAGACAUUGGUAUAUUUUGUCAGACUAGCCCCUGCAGGAAAACUUUCAAUAUCAACCUGGGAAGUCUUGAGAUACAAACUCACAUUGGAGACAAAGGAGACACAUGAAGUUUAACGAUUUGCACAAGGAAGACAUAGCUCAUUCAUCAUAGAGAGAUGAUCCAUGGAACGAGACAAAGAGUGCCACAAACACGGUGCACAACCGCUAAGAAAGAAAAGCUUCCACAAGGUGAUACUGUACCAUCACUCUUCAAGUAAGGUAACAUCUUAAGGUACUCAACUAUCACUUUUAUAAGCUUCUCCUUGGUUUUGGUGUUCACAUGAAUAAAGAGACAAACAUAAAUUAACCAACCCAGUUAAUUCAACAUGUUUAGUCCUUUAAUCUUUGUUCUUAGUACUACCUUCGUGAUCCUACACUCCUAACCAUAUAAGCUAAAAUGUUGCACAUUCAAUCUUUGAAAGAUAUUAAAAAACAUAAAUAUAGAUAAAUUAUCUUUCCAUUAGGUCGAGCGAUCUGAUCUGACAAAUGUUUUAAAUGCUACACUCAUGAUCUUAUUAUCCAUCAACUUUAUCUUGCUCACUAUGCUUAAGGUUAGAGAAGAACAAAUACAAUUUUGGUUCUAUUGGUGUUUUUCACCAACAGGGCCCAUGCACUUGAUCUCUGCCUUGUCUCUAUGAGCAGGUACACUUCGAGUAAAACCUGAAGAAGUUUUACAACUCCCAGAUUCCACCAAGUGAAGGACUUGGAUCUAGGAGCACAAACACACUGAGCAGGAUGCUGCCAAUGCCGCACCUCGAACUGUUGGACAAACGAAGAACAUGAGUGACACCGUAUCAAGAGGUGCAGAUGUCAAGGCCCACACCUAAUCAAAUGAUGCACUUAAAGUAUGAACACGAUGAGAAGUCUUGUCCACAAGACUUAAAACAUUGGAUCCUUGCCGGAAGGUAAAAUCGGUAUUUAUCCAUAUUUAUUUUUUCUAUAUUUCUUUUCCUUUUUAUUCAAUCACAUGUAUUAACAUAUUUACUUUACCACAUUAGUAUUAGAAAAGAAAAUAAAAAUAUUUGUUCGUUGCACUGCAUCAUAAAAUCUAAAGCCCCAUGUAAGUAGACUUAUGGUUUAAACCCAUAGGAAUAUUGACUGUGGUGGCAUAAAAUAAAUAUGUUUUCAUCUUACAAUAAAAAUAUAAAAAUAAUAAGUGUAUGAUCCUGCUAAAUAAAUAAAAUUUAUUAGGAGGAAUCUCAAUAUGAUAAAGGCUAAGAGAUUUUAUGCUAACACUUAACCAGUUCCACAAAGCUUUGUUGUCUAUUUGAGCUCCACAGAAUUCAAGGAUCAAAGAAGACUAGCCGGUGGAGGACAUAGUAAUCGUUGUCAGGGUGCUGCCGAUAUUCAAAUACACCUCCGUCACCUGCUAGCUACAUCAGAAGAAAUUACGUCAAAAUCCAGUUUGGGGGAGAGCACCCCCAUUUAUCCAGCUAAGUGUUUGUACUCGUGUUUAUACUUUACUCAAAUAAUAAAAAGAUGCAUAAUCAUGAAAACCCAAAUAAAAAUUUUCUGCCUAUAUAUAUCUUUGCUUAGUUUGCUAAAUAAAUAAAUAAAGUAUCUAGACCAAACUGAACUUAAAUGAUAAACUCUUACAUGGAUAUGAUAAAUAGUUGAUCUGCUAUGUACCUAGUUUUCAAGUUUGAGCUCUCUCUCAAGUUUAGGCAUAACUGUUAUAAUUUAAACCUCCUGAACUUGUGGGAAGAGUAAUUAAUCUAAAGUCUAAGUCGUUAACGGAUAUGAUAUGGAAAGAUUGAGCUGUUGUUUAUCUGUUCCUAGAGUUGCUAUAAUUCUAAAAAAAUUUAUCUUUGAAAAUCUUUAAAAUAUUGAGUUAGAAAUGAUGAGUUUAUAAGAGUUUAAAAUCCUACCACAACCAUAUAUACAUGCUUAUUAGACUGUGAACCAUAUAUUUACUGCUUAUGAGCAUGUGGUCAAGCUGUGUAGACCCUUAGGAGCUUGUCAUGCGGUUAAAAUCAAGAUUCACUUGCACGUUCACUCAUACAUGCUACUUCUACUCCGGAAGUACGCAUCCAUAUACAUCCACUCAAUUCCAUCUCCAGAUUCACCUAAAAUUAUUCUACUUCUAUCCGGGAGAGAAUAGCCAAAAACUUUUUCCUAUCCCUGUUAUUCCCUGUGAAAUAAAUGCUCGAGAUAUUUUGGUUACUACCACUUGCUACAUUAUUCUAGAAGGGUGAGUGCUCUGAAAAAAGGGGAAAAUACGAGGAAAUAAAAAGGGGCAAGUGCCCGGAACCUCGAAGAAAAGAAAAAGUGAGAUGAGAGGUAAAAAUGAACAAGUGUCCGAUAGUAGAAUUAGGGGUACGAGAUACCCACCUGAGAGAAAUAAAAAAAAUAUAGAGCAUCUCAUUCUCCUCAAAAAAGCUUCAAAGUGCAAGAAAGGUAUGUAUCCCCU